AUAUUACUCCUUCCGUCUAAUAAAGGAUGUCUCAAUUUUGACCAAAUUUGAAUGCAUCUAUAUACUAAGUCAUGUCUAAAUAUGUCUAAAUUUUGACAAACUUAAGACAUCUUUUGUUGGACGUAGGAAGUACAAU
rfam:Brachypodium distachyon strain Bd21 chromosome 3, whole genome shotgun sequence.